rnacentral:SRP_RNA from 1 species
CAUUGGUUCCUUCGCGACGAUAAACUACAAACCCCGCCAGGCCCGGAAGGGAGCAACGGUAGUAGUGGAUUCGGGUGCCGAAGUGCGCUGGUGUGG